UUUGAUCAUGGCUCAGGAUGAACGCUGGCGGCGUGCCUAAUACAUGCAAGUCGAACGAGUUCUCGUUGAUGAUCGGUGCUUGCACCGAGAUUCAACAUGGAACGAGUGGCGGACGGGUGAGUAACACGUGGGUAACCUGCCCUUAAGUGGGGGAUAACAUUUGGAAACAGAUGCUAAUACCGCAUAGAUCCAAGAACCGCAUGGUUCUUGGCUGAAAGAUGGCGUAAGCUAUCGCUUUUGGAUGGACCCGCGGCGUAUUAGCUAGUUGGUGAGGUAANGGCUCACCAAGGCGAUGAUACGUAGCCGAACUGAGAGGUUGAUCGGCCACAUUGGGACUGAGACACGGCCCAAACUCCUACGGGAGGCAGCAGUAGGGAAUCUUCCACAAUGGACGCAAGUCUGAUGGAGCAACGCCGCGUGAGUGAAGAAGGCUUUCGGGUCGUAAAACUCUGUUGUUGGAGAAGAAUGGUCGGCAGAGUAACUGUUGUCGGCGUGACGGUAUCCAACCAGAAAGCCACGGCUAACUACGUGCCAGCAGCCGCGGUAAUACGUAGGUGGCAAGCGUUAUCCGGAUUUAUUGGGCGUAAAGCGAGCGCAGGCGGUUUUUUAAGUCUGAUGUGAAAGCCCUCGGCUUAACCGAGGAAGCGCAUCGGAAACUGGGAAACUUGAGUGCA
rnacentral:rRNA from 2 species